ensembl:snRNA U6 U6 spliceosomal RNA
GUACUCACUUUGGCAGCACAGAUACUAAGAGUAAAACAAUACAGAGAUUAGCAUGGCCUGUGUACAUGAAUGGAAUGCAAAUUUGUGAUGCAUUCCAUAUAUUU